rnacentral:rRNA from 1 species
CCGGCGACCGGCGCACGGGUGAGUAACACGUAUGCAACCUGGCCGUGACAGAUGGAUAACCGGGAGAAAUCCCGCCUAAUACAGCAUGACGCCGGGAAGGGACAUCCCUUUCCGGCCAAAGGGGGCGACUCCGGUCACGGAUGGGCAUGCGGCGCAUUAGGUAGUUGGUGGGGCAACGGCCCACCAAGCCGACGAUGCGUAGGGGUUCUGAGAGGAAGGUCCCCCACAUUGGAACUGAGACACGGACCAGACUCCUACGGAAGGCAGCAG